AGCUCUAAUAGCGUAUAUUAACGUUGUUGCAGUUAAAAAGCUCGUAGUUGGAUCUUGGAAUGGAGUGGACUCGGUCUGCCAGCUGGUAGUACUGGUCUGCUCGUUCUCGCCUACUGGUGUUCCGCCGGUGCUCUUUAUUGAGUGUCGGUGCUCGGCUUCGGUCGGGCUGCCCGGGCCUUCGUGGUUCGGGUAGGGAUCCAGUUCGUUUACUGUGAGUAAAUUAGAGUGUUUAAAGCAGCCUCUUGGGGCUUUGAAUACGUUAGCAUGGGAUAAUGGAAUAGGACUUUGGUUCUAUUUUGUUGGUUUCUAGGACCGAAGUAAUGAUUAAUAGGGAUAGUUGGGGGCAUUUGUAUUUAAUUGUCAGAGGUGAAAUUCUUGGAUUUAUGAAAGACAAACUUCUGCGAAAGCAUUUGCCAAGGAUGUUUUCAUUA
rnacentral:rRNA from 1 species